GGGUCGUUAGCUCAGUUGGUAGAGCAGUUGACUUUUAAUCAAUUGGUCGCAGGUUCGAAUCCUGCACUAGCUC
rnacentral:tRNA from 1 species